rnacentral:rRNA from 1 species
AGAGCGGUAGCCCGGAGAUGGGCACUGAGACAAGGGCCCAGGCCCUACGGGGCGCAGCAGUCGCGAAAACUUUGCAAUACACGAAAGUGUGACAGGGCUAUCCCGAGUGCCAUCCGCUGAGGAAGGCUUUUACCCAGUGUAGAAAGCUGGGGGAAUAAGGAGAGGGCA